rnacentral:rRNA from 1 species
AGUGAACGCUGGUGGUAGGCCUAACACAUGCAAGUCGAACGGCAGCACAGUAAGAGCUUGCUCUUACGGGUGGCGAGUGGCGGACGGGUGAGGAAUACAUCGGAAUCUACUUUUUCGUGGGGGAUAACGUAGGGAAACUUACGCUAAUACCGCAUACGACCUACGGGUGAAAGAAGGGGAUCUUCGGACCUUGCGCGAAUGAAUGAGCCGAUGUCGGAUUAGUUAGUUGGCGGGGUAAAGGCCCAGCAAGGCGACGAUCCGUAGCUGGUCUGAGAGGAUGAUCAGCCACACUGAAACUGAGACACGGUCCACACUCCUACGGAAGGCAGCAGUGGGGAAUAUUAGACAAUGGGCGCAAGCCUGAUCCAGCCAUACCGCGUGGGUGAAGAAGGCCUUCGGUUUGUAAAGCCCUUUUGUUGGGAAAGAAAAGCGGCAGGUUAAUACCCCGCUGUUCUGACGGUACCCAAAGAAUAAGCACCGGCUAACUUCGUG